CCUCUGCCGUGUCAUACAGGUCGCCAGGGAAGUGGGGGAAAGCCGACAGUGACAGGUGUUACCCAGCUCCCACGCAGCUGGAAAGGCUGGUCUCACUGUCAGCAUGCUCCCCCAACAGCAUCAAGUUUAUUUCCAGGCAGCAGGCGAGCAGGGCUGAGAACUUGUCCCAGGCUACAAGCCUCCCUGCUGACAACAGAAGCAGGGCUUUCAGGUUUUAUGCCUCUCUGCCUGCCACAGCUUCUGUGCUUGUAUCUGCACUCCCUGUUUGACCCCCUCCCCAGAUUCUGUCCAGGAAACUUCAUGUUCGGUAGAAAUUGUUAUAAAAUUCAACUGGAAGUUUUCCUCUCCCUCUGGUUUUUCCUCAAUUCCACUGGCAGCCCUCCCCAAGUUGCAAGAUAAAGACAGAAAAGGCUUCCCUGAGGACUGAGAGUGCCCACAGGGCUCUUGCUGCUGCUUUCUCUACCCCUAUAUUUUGUGCGGCUCUCAGCAUUUGUCUCAGCUCCAGGGAGAAGAGAAGGAAAAGCAGAUGAGUGAACAAGGGCAGAUGGUGCUGGAGAAUUCCAUCAAGUGGGCAUCAAGAAGGGACUGGAGGUUAAAACCUUUGGGAUAAAGAAGAAGAAAAAAAGACAAGCUGGUAAAAAAUGGCACCUGGGCACUGUUUGCUGGGCACAAACAUGGCACUGUUUCCUAGGAGAUGAUUCCUCCAGUUCUUUAAGGUAGUAAUGAAUGACAACAAGAAGUUACUUCUCUAUGCUACACACGGUGUAGAAUCCAGAGCCUGACUGGCUGUGACGCGCCCAUGGUGACACCAAGGGGACUCUGCAUGGGCACAUCCCGGCCCUCCUCCCUGCAUGUUCUCCAAGCCAGGUCUUUGAAACCUCCAGUGAUGGGAAUGACAGAAUCUGGGAUGAUUUUCUUCUGUUUCUUAUCUAAAAAAACAACAAAAAGCUCAGCAUACACGGACUCACACAAACCUUUUGCUAGAGGCAGCUCUGUAGACUUAAGACGCUGUCAUUUUUCAGAAGAACCCAGCUUGCUUUGGAACUACAGUCAGCCCUGCAACCCACCCUCACCUUGGACCCUGCUGCUGCUGUCUGUAAAGACAAUGCUGCGAUGAAUACACCUGUGCAUUCUUUUUUAGAACAAGUGUAAGAAUUCCUAUGUGGUAAGUCUGUUUAAAGAGAAUUUCAGAUUCACGUGUAGAUGUGUUAAGUUUGAGCGAUGUUGCCAAACUCUCUUGAACUUAUACCCUCUGUAAUAAUAUAUUGGGAUAUUUGUUUCCUUUUGUUCUUGUCAGUUUUCAUACUAUAAAACUUAAACAUGUUUGACAAUCUGACUGGAAAUGGCUUUGUACUGUUUUAAUUUACUUUUCUUUGCAUUAUGGUAGAUAUCUCUAACUGUCCUCUAGUAUCGACCUUCUUCCUUUUAGUGGUUAAAGACUACAUUUCCCAGCUGCCUUUGCAGCUGGCUGUGGUCAUGUGACUUAGUUCAGGCCAAUGGGAUGAAAGCUUGCCUUGGUCUUCCCCUUUUCCUCUUUCCAGCAGCUGGAAAAGUGCUGACCAGAGCAUUGUUGAAGGCCGUAUAGUAAGAAUGGCAAAGCUUCCCUACCAGCCCAACUGACUGUUUUGUGGUGCAGAGGCCAUCUAUUAUGUGAGAGAGAGCAAUAAAUAUAUAUAUAUAUAUUUUUCUAAGAGACUGGAGUCUCACUAUGUUGCCCAGGCUGGCCUUGAACUCCUGGCCUAAAGCAAUCCUCCCACCUCAGUCUUCCAAGUAGCUGGGACUACAAGUGUGUGCCACCAUGCCCAGCUCUAUAAACGUCUAUUUUUAUUGAGUCCCUAUGUGAGAUCAUUUUCUUGUAGCAGCUUACAUUCUGUACUAAAUUAUACAUGCAAUUUUUCAAAUGUAUUGGACAUUUACACUUUUUCUUCCAUGAUUUGCUUGUUCAAACCAUUUGCUUGUUUUCCAGUUAGGUUUUGCUUUUUACAUAUUUUAAUGGGUAUUCU
rnacentral:lncRNA from 1 species